CUAUCACUGACGCUUAGGCUCGAAAGUGUGGGGAGCAAAUAGGAUUAGAUACCCUAGUAGUCCACACCGUAAACGAUCAUCAUUAAAUGUCGGCUCGAACGAGUCGGUGUUGUAGCUAACGCAUUAAAUGAUGUGCCUGGGUAGUACAUUCGCAAGAAUGAAACUCAAACGGAAUUGACGGGGACCCGCACAAGUGGUGGAGCAUGUUGCUUAAUUUGACAAUACACGUAGAACCUUACCUAGGUUUGACAUCUAUUGCGACGCUAUAGAAAUAUAGUUGAGGUUAACAAUAUGACAGGUGGUGCAUGGUUGUCGUCAGCUCGUGUCGUGAGAUGUUGGGUUAAGUCCCGCAACGAGCGCAACCCCUUUCGUUAGUUGCUUUUCUAGCGAUACUGCUACCGCAAGGUAGAGGAAGGUGGGGAUGACGUCAAAUCAUCAUGCCCCUUAUAUCUAGGGCUGCAAACGUGCUACAAUGGCUAAUACAAACUGCUGCAAAAUCGUAAGAUGAAGCGAAACAGAAAAAGUUAGUCUCAGUUCGGAUAGAGGGCUGCAAUUCGCCCUC
rnacentral:rRNA from 1 species